AAUAGAUACCCGGGUAGUCCACGCCGUAAACGAUGAGUGCUAAGUGUUAGAGGGGUUUCCGCCCUUUAGUGCUGCAGCUAACGCAUUAAGCACUCCGCCUGGGGAGUACGGCCGCAAGGCUGAAACUCAAAGGAAUUGACGGGGGCCCGCACAAGCGGUGGAGCAUGUGGUUUAAUUCGAAGCAACGCGAAGAACCUUACCAGGUCUUGACAUCCUCUGCCAACCCUAGAGAUAGGGCGUUCCCCUUCGGGGGACAGAGUGACAGGUGGUGCAUGGUUGUCGUCAGCUCGUGUCGUGAGAUGUUGGGUUAAGUCCCGCAACGAGCGCAACCCUUGAUCUUAGUUGCCAGCGUUCAGUUGGGCACUCUAAGGUGACUGCCGGUGACAAACCGGAGGAAGGUGGGGAUGACGUCAAAUCAUCAUGCCCCUUAUGACCUGGGCUACACACGUGCUACAAUGGAUGGUACAAAGAGCUGCGAACCCGCGAGGGUAAGCGAAUCUCAUAAAGCCAUUCUCAGUUCGGA
rnacentral:rRNA from 1 species